GCCAUUUUGUAGUUUGGAUAUCCAUUAUUUGUCAGCAUGAAAUAUUAAUACAUAUAUAAUAUUGCCAAAACUAGUCUACGAAGAUAAUUUUUUGAAAAAUUUUGAAAAACACAAAGGAUAUCAUGGCUAUGUUGAUUUAGGUGAUGGGACAAAAUCAACAAAAGAAGAUGAAUCAUGUCCAGAAGCAACAAAGGCCCUAUUUCUUAUGGCAACCUGUAUUAAUAGCAGCUGGAAAAUGCCAAUAGCCUAUUUUCUAGUUGUAAAAAUAAAUCCAGAUAUCCUAGCUAAUUUAGUGAUAGAUGCAUUGCUCAAUUUAAAUGAAACUGGAGGAAUAUGCAAAGCCAUUGUAUGCGACGGGUGUGCUGUUAAUAAAAAAAUGGGUAAAUUGCUUGGCGUUAGUAUGGAUCCUGAUAAUAUUAUUCCAUAUAUUGAGCAGGAAAGCCAUGACUCGGAAAAAAUAUAUGUAUAAGGAAUGACCAGAUAUUAGGUGAUGAUAUAAUCAAAAAUGACGAAAAUGUACUCAAAAAUAAUAUAAAAGUGAACUGUUGCAAUAUCUUUUCCUUUUCAAGGCCUAUACAUUUAUAUCAUUAUAUACUUAUUAAAUAUACUUUAUUAAAUAAAUAAUUUAUAUAAUAUAAUUUAUAC